rnacentral:rRNA from 1 species
GACGAACGCUGGCGGCGUGCCUAAUACAUGCAAGUCGAACGCUGAAGGAGGAGCUUGCUUCUCUGGAUGAGUUGCGAACGGGUGAGUAACGCGUAGGUAACCUGCCUGGUAGCGGGGGAUAACUAUUGGAAACGAUAGCUAAUACCGCAUAAGAGUAGAUGUCGCAUGACAUUUGCUUAAAAGGUGCAAUUGCAUCACUACCAGAUGGACCUGCGUUGUAUUAGCUAGUUGGUGAGGUAACGGCUCACCAAGGCAACGAUACAUAGCCGACCUGAGAGGGUGAUCGGCCACACUGGGACUGAGACACGGCCCAGACUCCUACGGGAGGCAGCAGUAGGGAAUCUUCGGCAAUGGACGGAAGUCUGACCGAGCAACGCCGCGGGAGUGAAGAAGGUUUUCGGAUCGUAAAGCUCUGUUGUAAGAGAAGAACGAGUGUGAGAGUGGAAAGUUCACACUGUGACGGUAUCUUACCAGAAAGGGACGGCUAACUACGUG